rnacentral:rRNA from 1 species
UCGAGGAUCUUCCGCAAUGGGCGAAAGCCUGACGGAGCGACGCCGCGUGUGGGAUGAAGGCCUUCGGGUUGUAAACCACUGUCACUCGUUAUGAAAGGGCCCGGUGUUAACAGCAUCGGGAACUGACAAAGGCGAGAGAGGAAGCCACGGCUAACUUCGUGCCAGCAGCCGCGGUAAGACGAAGGUGGCGAGCGUUGUUCGGAAUCACUGGGCAUAAAGCGCACGUAGGCGGCGAUGUAAGUCGGGUGUGAAAUCCCUCGGCCCAACCGAGGAACUGCGCCCGAAACUGCAUUGCUUGAGGAUCAAAGGGGUGCUCGGAAUUUCCGGUGGAGCGGUGAAAUGCGUUGAUAUCGGAAGGAACGUCGGCGGCGAAAGCGGAGCACUGGUUGAUUUCUGACGCUGAGGUGCGAAAGCCAGGGGAGCAAACGGGAUUAGAUACCCCCGUAGUCC